rnacentral:rRNA from 1 species
GAUGAACGCUGGCGGUAUGCUUAACACAUGCAAGUCGAACGGUCACUUCGGUGAUAGUGGCGGACGGGUGAGUAACGCGUGAGAAUCUGUCUUCAGGUCGGGGACAACAGUUAGAAAUGACUGCUAAUACCGGAUGUGCCUUUGGGUGAAAGAUUUAUUGCCUGAAAAAGAGCUCGCGUCAGAUUAGCUAGUAGGUGGUGUAAGAGACUACCUAGGCUCCGAUCUGUAGCUGGUCUGAGAGGACGAUCAGCCACACUGGAACUGAGACACGGUCCAGACUCCUACGGGAGGCAGCAGUGGGGAAUUUUCCGCAAUGGGCGAAAGCCUGACGGUGCAAUACCGCGUGAGGGACGAAGGCUUUUGGGUCGUAAACCUCUUUUCUCAAGGAAGAUGAUGACGGUACUUGAGGAAUAAGCAUCGGCUAACUCUGU